UACAAGCCGUACUGCUCAGUAACACGUAAUUAACUUGCCCUUAGGUGGGGGAUAACCGUGGGAAACUGCGAAGAAUACCCCAUAGAUGAUUAUGGCUGGAAGGCCUUUUCAUCCAAAGCUUCGGCACCUAAGGAUAGGAUUGCGGCAGAUUAGGCUGACGUUAGGGUAAGUGCCUAACAUACCUAUAAUCUGUACGGGUCGUGAGAGCGAUAGCCCGGAGAUGGUUUCUGAGACAUGAAACCAGGCUCUACGGAGCGCAGCAGGCGCGCAACCUUCACAAUGCAUGAAAGUGUGAUGAGGGAAACCUGAGUGAGUUCGCUUAUUGCGAUCUCUUUUGUUAAAUCUAGAAAGUUUAACGAAUAAGUGGUGGGUAAGACGGUUGCCAGCCGCCGCGGUAAUAACCGCGCCACGAGAGGUAGUCACGAUUAUUGGGCCUAGAGCGUCCGUAGCCGGCCUGAUAAGUCUCUGGUUAAACCUUACAGCAAACUGUAAGUCUUGCUGGAGAUACUAUCAGACUUGGGAUCGGGAGAGGUCAAAGGUACGUCAUGGGUAGGGGUAAAAUCCUUUAAUCCAUGUCGGACCACCUGUGGCGAAGGCGUUUGACUGGAACGAGUCCGACGGUGAGGGACGAAAGUUAGGGGAGCGAUUGGGAUUAGAUACCCCAGUAGUCCUAACUGUAAACGAUGCCCGCUUGGUGUUGCGUAUUCUUCGUGAAUAUGCAGUGCCGUAGCGAAGGUGUUAAGCGGGCCGCCUGGGAAUUACGACCGCAAGGUUGAAACUUAAAGGAAUUGGCGGGGGAGCACUACCAGGGGUGGAGGCUGCGGUUUAAUUGGAUUCAACGCCGGAA
rnacentral:rRNA from 1 species